UGGGGAAUAUUGCACAAUGGGCGAAAGCCUGAUGCAGCAACGCCGCGUGAGUGAUGAAGGCCUUCGGGUUGUAAAGCUCUGUCUUUUGGGACGAUAAUGACGGUACCAAAGGAGGAAGCCACGGCUAACUACGUGCCAGCAGCCGCGGUAAUACGUAGGUGGCAAGCGUUGUCCGGAUUUACUGGGCGUAAAGGAUGCGUAGGCGGAUUUUUAAGUGAGAUGUGAAAUACCCGGGCUUAACUUGGGUGCUGCAUUUCAAACUGGGAAUCUAGAGUGCGGGAGAGGAGAAUGGAAUUCCUAGUGUAGCGGUGAAAUGCGUAGAGAUUAGGAAGAACACCAGUGGCGAAGGCGAUUCUCUGGACCGUAACUGACGCUGAGGCAUGAAAGCGUGGGUAGCAAACAGGAUUAGAUACCCUGGUAGUCCACGCCGUAAACGAUGAGUACUAGGUGUAGGAGGUAUCGACCCCUUCUGUGCCGCAGUUAACACAAUCAAGUACUCCGCCUGGGAAGUACGAUCGCAAGAUUAAAACUCAAAUGAAUUGACGGGG
rnacentral:rRNA from 1 species